rnacentral:rRNA from 1 species
GAACGCGAAAGUAGGGGCAACCCUGCGAGUAGAGUGGCGAACGGGUGAGUAAUACAUCGGAACGUACCCAGGAGUGGGGGACAACCUCGAGAAAUCGAGGCUAAUACCGCAUACGUCCUGAGGGAGAAAGCGGGGGAUCGCAAGACCUCGCGCUCAUGGAGCGGCCGAUGUCGGAUUAGCUAGUUGGCGGGGUAAAGGCCCACCAAGGCUACGAUCCGUAGCUGGUUUGAGAGAACGACCAGCCACACUGGGACUGAGACACGGCCCAGACUCCUACGGGAGGCAGCAGUGGGGAAUUUUGGACAAUGGGCGCAAGCCUGAUCCAGCCAUGCCGCGUGAGUGAAGAAGGCCUUCGGGUUGUAAAGCUCUUUCGGCCGGAACGAAAUCGGUAACGUGAAUAACGUUGCUGGAUGACGGUACUGGAAGAAGAAGCACCGGCUAACUACGUGCCAGCAGCCGCGGUAAUACGUAGGGUGCGAGCGUUAAUCGGAAUUACUGGGCGUAAAGCGUGCGUAGGCGGUUUCGCAAGUCAGAUGUGAAAUCCCCGGGCUUAACCUGGGAACUGCGUUUGAAACUACGGAGCUAGAGUACGGCAGAGGGGGGUGGAAUUCCACGUGUAG